UACGAAGGGGGCUAGCGUUGUUCGGAUUUACUGGGCGUAAAGCGUACGUAGGCGGAAUGUUAAGUCAGAGGUGAAAUCCUGGAGCUCAACUCCAGAACUGCCUUUGAUACUGGCAAUCUCGAGUCCGGAAGAGGUGAGUGGAACUCCUAGUGUAGAGGUGGAAUUCGUAGAUAUUAGGAAGAACACCAGUGGCGAAGGCGGCUUGCUGGGCCGGAACUGACGCUGAGGUGCGAAAGCGUGGGGAGCAAACAGG
rnacentral:rRNA from 1 species